GACCGGGGUGAACAUACCUCUGGUGUACCUGUCAUCCUGCCAAGGGUGCCGCAGGGUAGCUAUGUAUGGACGGGAUAACCGCUGAAAGCAUCUAAGCGGGAAGCCUCCCUUGAGAUAAGCAAUCUUCGAACCGUCAUAGACCAUGACGUUGAUAGGCCGGGUGUGGAAGCGCAGUAAUGCGUGUAGCUAACCGGUCCUAAUAGUUCUUUUCGCGCUUG
rnacentral:rRNA from 1 species